GAUGAACGCUGGCGGCGUGCCUAAUACAUGCAAGUCGAGCGAACAGACGAGGAGCUUGCUCCUCUGAUGUUAGCGGCGGACGGGUGAGUAACACGUGUAUAACCUACCUAUAAGACUGGGAUAACUUCGGGAAACCGGAUCUAAUACCGUAUAACAUGUUGAACCGCAUGGUUCAACAGUGAAAGACGGUCUUGCUGUCACUUAUAGAUGGAUCCGCGCCGCAUUAGCUAGUUGGUAAGGUAACGGCUUACCAAGGCAACGAUGCGUAGCCGACCUGAGAGGGUGAUCGGCCACACUGGAGCUGAGACACGGUCCAGACUCCUACGGGAGGGAGCAGUAGGGAAUCUUCCGCAAUGGGCGAAAGCCUGACGGAGCAACGCCGCGUGAGUGAAGAAGGUCUUCGGAUCGUAAAACUCUGUUAUUAGGGAAGAACAAAUGUGUAAGUAACUAUGCACGUCUUGACGGUACCUAAUAAGAAAGCCACGGCUAACUACGUG
rnacentral:rRNA from 1 species